rnacentral:ncRNA from 20 species
UUACCUUUGCAAAAAAUUGGUUUGCAUCGAGUUGUGAUGCAUAAAAAGGGAAUACCGUGCGAAUCGGUAACAGUACCCGCUGCUGUAAUUCUCGUAGAACCCGGAUAAGAAUGUCACUGUAAAGCGCCCUGCUUUAUGGGAAGGCAUCCGGAGGGAGAGACAAGUCAGAAGACCUGCCAAUUUUUAUAAUAUCUGA